AUAGAAAUGCAAUAGUUCUAGUGAGCUUUAUUGAAAUGUAAAGAAGAGAAAAAUGUAAAGGAGCUUAAGGUUUGUCACCAAAAGCCAAUGUUUCUAGAUUUGAUAUUUCAUAAGAUGAAGGAAGAGAGUUCUCUCAAAGUUACAAUCAUAGUUCUCAUUACAUAAUUGUUUAUAUGAAUCUUCUAACUUGUUAAAAUUCUACUUAUGUAGACCUCACAUUGGGUUUGGACUUGUUUUAGUUGUGGACUCUAAUACUCCCCUGCAAACUUAGCAGCGAGUAUGAAAACAAUGAUGAUAAAUUUGUUUUAGUUGAUCGAAGAGCUUAAUUUUCAGUCCAUGAUCCAAUGAAGGCACAUAAUCUUAAUGUUUAUUGUUUCUUGUCGAUUUAUGACAUCACCACAUACGAAAGAAAGUUUGGGCAGUGGUUAUCAGGUUAUAAAGCUUAAAAAUUCUGAAAUCUGAAGGUUGUUGUUCAUCUCAAUAGGAGGACUUGUGUAUCGUUGGUUGGUGGUGGGCAUCCGCGAUACUUUUCUUUCAAAUAAUCUUCAAGAACUAUGCGACUUAUAGUUUUGGUGGGAUUUCAACUACUAUUGCUUUUUUCCUCUUGCUUUGUAGUAUUAUUUAUGACUUUUUUACUUAGGGCUUAAACUUCGAAAAAAUCUCGUUUUCUUUCGGUUUAAUGUUGUAUUUUAUCAAGUAUUUCAUCAUGGUAACAUU
rnacentral:sRNA from 1 species